CUCAAACAAUUGUUGCUUGUUGGAGUUUCAAUCUCGAGAGCUGAAUUAACUCAAAGACUCCUCACCAGCUGUCUACAUCUCGAAUUGCUAAACAUAGUUAACUGUGAUUUACAAAGUGGUAAUCAAACGAGUAUCAUUGUUGAUUCUCUUAGCCUUAGCGUUUUAGAAACGCUCUAAUCUGGUCCCACAGUCAAUCUAUGGCUAACACUAUUAAGUUAUCUCCUCCAUGUCUCAUAGACUUUGACUACAGUGAUUUCUUGACGCAAAAAUUGCCUUCAGUAGUUGAUGCUCUUUUUGAUAUAGCACUGGAAAGGGAUGAAUCUGCAGAAACAUAUUCAAAGCUGCCUUCCGAGGAAAAGAAAGUAUAUGCCAAACGCGUGAUAAAAUUGCUAGAAGCGGUUCCUAACGUGGACGACUAAGUUUAUCAUCUAGAUUUCUUGAGGUACUCCCACAUGCUCCUGACUUGAUAAACUUUCGAUUUCUUCAAUUCUGUAACCUGCAACAUUUGGAGCUGGAAAUUUGGCUCACAAGAAGCUGCUUGCGUUCAAUUACAUACUUACUCAAGAUGUCGCCUAAUAUAAAGUCUAUUUUACUUACGUCAAAGGAGUCGAAUUCGGCAGACAUUGGAGAUGAUUGGGAAGCAGCAGGAUUGGCAUCGUCGUGCAUGUUAUCUCACCUCGAGUAUAUUGAGAUUAAAGAAUGCAAGGAUGUGAUAAUGAACUCAAGUUGCUAAGUUUCCAGGGCGGUCUUAGGCCUAGGGCGAGAUGGUCGACCGCCCUAGGCCCAAAAUUUUGCGGGGCCCGAGAAAAUGAAAACUUGGUACGUAUGUUUUACUUUACUCACUCCACCUGUUUGAAACAAUAUGAUGACAGAUCAAAUUAGGAGGAGAAAGUGGGAAGUAUUCGAUGGGG